rnacentral:lncRNA from 1 species
UUGUUUAAAAUCAACUUUUCUAUGUAAAAAUGCAAUUUGAACACCACACAUCGAUCCACUGAUCAUGCUUACCAAGUCACCAAAACAUAAACAUCAAAACCUCAUCCAGGACUUGUAAUUUGAGACAAAUCAAAAUGAACCUAUGGAUUUGGAUGUAGAUGCAAAAUGAGGCAAAAAAGUAGCAAAUCACAAAAUUGAAAAGCUUUCUG